GCGCCGGUCGUCUAAUGGCUAGGAUCCCAGCCUUCCAAGCUGGUCAUCGGGGUUCGAAUCCCCGCCGGCGCA
rnacentral:tRNA from 1 species